rnacentral:rRNA from 1 species
ACACUCCUGCGGGAGGCAGCAGUGGGGAAUUUUACGCAAUGGGGGAAACCCUGACGUAGCGACACCGCGUGAGCGAAGAAGCCCUUUGGGGUGUAAAGCUCUGUCAGCUGGAACGAAAACAAUGACGGUACCAGCAGAGGAAGCAUCGGCUAACUACGUGCCAGCAGCCGCGGUAAGACGUAGGAUGCGAGCGUUGUCCGGAUUUAUUGGGCGUAAAGAGUUCGUAGGUGGUUUGUUAAGUUUGGUGUUAAAGAUCGGGGCUCAACCCUGGGACUGCACUGAAUACUGGCAGACUCGAGUGUGGUAGAGGCUAGUGGAAUUCCCAGUGUAGCGGUGAAAUGCGUAGAUAUUGGGAAGAACACCGGUGGCGUAGGCGACUAGCUGGGCCAUAACUGACGCUGAGGAACGAAAGCCAGGGGAGCGAAUGGGAUUAGAAACCCCUGUAGUCCCA